AAUAACGAACCUGUUGUUAAACACGCUAUUUGGUAUUAAUGGUACAAUAAUUAAUAUGUAAUCGUAAUAUAAUAUGAGCAUUCCACAUAUUUUUUUGGUUUUUUUUUUGCACUGUCAGCCUACUCAUUUUUCAGUAGCAAAUAAAGAUAAUUAUGACGUUACUACUUCUUAGCAGUGCAAAGAUUAAAUCGACCAAUUUAUGACAUCGAGUUUACAAAUUUACAAGAGUACACGACGCCUGCAACUAUUGUCAAUAUCGGCACGAUAUCCUGGUAAAUAUCGAAUUAAAUUGUCGCCGAACGCCGAUCAAUAUUUUUUUAUUUUUAUAUUGCGUCUUCGCAUUUAGUAACCGUAUAUUAAAUAUUAAUGUGUUGUGCGCUCCUCAGUAGUCAGUCCCCACAAUAUAUUUAGCACCAAUAUAAUUUCUAUUUGUUGCGCAACGCUUAAAAUAGUAACAUUCAAAUCGAAAAUUGUUGUUUACUUUAAAUCAUAAAUAAGAGGAAAGAAAACAGCAGUAAAAUAAGUAAGUUUGUCGAAUGUCGUUACUUCAUGUUAAUUAUUCAAUUUAAUAAAGCAACCUAUCAUCAAACUACAUAAUGUUAUAGUUCAAAAGAAAUACUAAAAUUGGCAAGUUCAGUACAGCAAAAAUAAAAAUGCAUUAAAUCCCCGAUCCCUCCUUAUUUUCUUUUUACCUAAGUAUAAAAUGUUAUCUUCGAUCAGCCCUACUUAGUUCGCAUGUACUGUGAAGGUAUCAGUAAAUACUAAACGAUCACAACUCGCUAGUCACAACUUUACUCUCAACUAUAAAUAAGAAGUGUGCACUGCAGUCGUCUGUAGUGUUUAUAGCCAGUAGUCACCACACACUGUCACGGUUAGAGUUAUAGUUAGGAGUUAGAAGUUAGAAGUUAGAAGUUGUCGGACCGACCUUAUCUCCGAAGACCGCGGUUGCGGUGGGGUCUGUCUAUACGCAGUCGAUUAGACCACCACCGUCGUUAUCAUUUUGUUAUUAUCAAAAACAAAGUUGUUAUCAUAUCGUAUCAUCCAUUAUAAUAAAUACAUACAUU